rnacentral:tRNA from 1 species
CGGGACGUAGCGCAGCUUGGUAGCGCGCCGGUCUGGGGGACCGGAGGGCGCGGGUUCAAAUCCCGCCGUCCCGA